AUUGAACGCUGGCGGCAGGCCUAACACAUGCAAGUCGAGCGGAUGAAGGGAGCUUGCUCCUGGAUUCAGCGGCGGACGGGUGAGUAAUGCCUAGGAAUCUGCCUGGUAGUGGGGGAUAACGUCCGGAAACGGGCGCUAAUACCGCAUACGUCCUGAGGGAGAAAGUGGGGGAUCUUCGGACCUCACGCUAUCAGAUGAGCCUAGGUCGGAUUAGCUAGUUGGUGGGGUAACGGCCUAGCAAGGCGACGAUCCGUAACUGGUCUGAGAGGAUGAUCAGUCACACUGGCACUGAGACACGGUCCAGACUCCUACGGGAGGAAGCAGUGGGGAAUAUUGGACGAUGGGCGAAAGCCUGAUCCAGCCAUGCCGCGUGUGUGAAGAAGGUCUUCGGAUUGUAAAGCACUUUAAGUUGGGAGGAAGGGCAGUAAGUUAAUACCUUGCUGUUUUGACGUUACCAACAGAAUAAGCACCGGCUAACUUCGUG
rnacentral:rRNA from 1 species